rnacentral:rRNA from 1 species
AUUGAACGCUGGCGGCAUGCUUUACACAUGCAAGUCGAACGGCAGCACAGCAGAGGUAACUCUGUGGGUGGCGAGUGGCGAACGGGUGAGUAAUACAUCGGAACGUACCCUGUUGUGGGGGAUAACUACGCGAAAGCGUAGCUAAUACCGCAUACGCCCUGAGGGGGAAAGCGGGGGACCCUAAAUAGAGCGCACUGGGGAGUGCGUUGUAUUUAGGGCCUCGCGCAAUAGGAGCGGCCGAUGUCGGAUUAGCUAGUUGGUGAGGUAAAGGCUUACCAAGGCGACGAUCCGUAGCUGGUCUGAGAGGAUGAUCAGCCACACUGGGACUGAGACACGGCCCAGACUCCUACGGGAGGCAGCAGUGGGGAAUUUUGGACAAUGGGGGCAACCCUGAUCCAGCCAUGCCGCGUGAGUGAAGAAGGCC